AUACGUAGGUGACAAGCGUUAUCCGGAUUUACUGGGCGUAAAGGGCGUGUAGGCGGUCUUGCAAGUCAGAAGUGAAAUUCCUGAGCUCAACUCGGGCGCUGCUUCUGAAACUGCAGGACUUGAGUGCUGGAGGGGAUAGCGGAAUUCCUAGUGGAGCGGUAAAAUGCGCAGAUAUUAGGAAGAACACCGGUGGCGAAGGCGGCUAUCUGGACAGUAACUGACGCUGAGGCGCGAAAGCGGGGGGAGCAAACAGGAUUAGAUACCCUGGUAGUCCACGCUGUAAACGAUGAAUACUAGGUGUAGGGGGUAUCGACUCCCUCUGUGCCGCAGUUAACACAAUAAGUAUUCCGCCUGGGGAGUACGGCCGCAAGGUUGAAACUCAAAGGAAUUGACGGGG
rnacentral:rRNA from 1 species